GUUGUUCUUGGGGCGUUUUUCCUUCCCUUAGCUACAGCUCGUCUUCAAAAUGUCUCUCUCAGUUGCUCUCCAAAAUGUCACUCACAGCUGCUCUGCGUCUGGGCCUGUGUGGCCCUUUUUAAAGUACUUGAGUGACCCAAUAAAGACUGACCCUGAAUGGGUGGGGCAACACCUAAUCCAAUGAAAGUUCUCGCCCACAGUUAACUGAGUCACAUCUCCAUGAAAACACUGAACCAAUAGGUUCCAACCUAAUCAACAGUAAUAGUCUGUCCCCACAAAAUUGCAUCAAAAAUAAUGGCGUUUCCAGGGACAUAAUACAUCCAAACUGGCACAUGAGGCAAUUUUAAAUUCCUUCCAGCACACAAACUACUGCUUGUUUGGUUUUAUAAAUCAGAAAACAUCAUAGAAAGUGGUUAAAAUGAUUUUAGUUUUGAAAAUUUUAAAGCAGGUAAUAUCACUUAUGGUUGCCUUUUCAAAGUCUCAGUAAAUCAAUAAUUCUGUCCAUUAUCUGAUACAGAGUAACACGGAUUUCUAGUUUAGAUAUAAAAUGUAAAAAGUAGUUGAACUAAAUACUCUUAUAUGAAAUAGCUAUAAUAUAAACCAACUGAAUAUUUGAAGAAUGUUUGCCAAUGAAAAUUACUUUUGUCUUAUACCAUUGUUUCUAAAGAAAGAACUAUGUAGUAGUCCAUUAAGCCCGUUUCUGGUUUGAAAAAUAAAACAUCAUCCAGUAGGAGGAAAGUUUUCCUUUUUUUUUUCAUCACAGGGGAAUUCAUAACUAUAUACAUUACUUAGAUGUUUUUUCCUUAUUAGUAGGUACAAGUAGUCAAAUUUCUUCCUCAAGGAGAUCUGAAGAGGAUGAUAUGGCUUUCUUUGAACGACGAUACCAGGAAAGGGUGAUCUGUUAACUCCUACAGUGUGCAAGAGUGCUAUGAGUGUAUGGGAACUGAACGAGGUUCCCAUCUGACACAAAGAGGAGAGAGAUGGGAAAAAUGGGGAAGAGACAGAGGUGAGAUUAAUCUGAUUUUAUUAGUAGAAAUUUCUUAUUUACAGUUAAAUGGGAUUCGGUGAAUUGCAUUUACCGGAUUCCUCCUGUCUUCUUGAUGUUAUUUUCUAUCACCCUAGAAGGAAGGAGGCCCUGCCUCCAGCUGCCAUACCCCUUGUUUUCUCUCCCUUUCUCUUGCAGGGGUAAGGCAGUGAUGCUGCCUCUGGGAAUUUGGUGUGUGUGUGUGUGAGUGGUGGAAAGUAAGAGACAGGUGAGGUUUGUGUUUGCUGGGAUCUUUUGUCUCAUGGGAAGGAUAUAUAUGUGUCUAAAAAAAUUAGACAGCCACUGCUUAGGAUAUGUGUGCUUACUCUUUGCUUCAGCUGCAAUGGAGAAGGACAAGACCUUUAGAAUGAUACCUGUGGGAAUGCAGAAAGUAGAAUCAUAGGAAAUUAUCUUUAAAGCAGUUCAUAUUCCAGAAAUUUUCCAGCCAGAUUACGUGUAUUCUGUAACCCUAUAGGAAAUGUGCAUAGGCUGUAUGUCAGGUUAGUUGUUUAAGCAUUUUUUCCCCUAAAUUUUAGUGGCAAUUGAAAUUAAUUUCAUUUUCUCUAAAGUAAUAUUCACGUUAUUUUUCUUAAAACAUUUCCGUUAAGUUGAAAUCAAACCAUUUUUAAAAUAUGUAAUUAUGUCCCUUCAGCUAUCAGAUUUUGGCUUUAAUAUUUAGCAGCUUAAUAUUUAGAUUAACUGCUAAAUAACGAUGUGAAAUAGCUAUGUAUACAUAAGACAUGAAUCUAAAGGAGGUUUAGAUUGUGCAACCUUUUAUCCUUGGGAAAUGUUUUACAAAUUCUUAUUAUAUCAAUAAAUCUUUUAAAUUUAUAGAUAAAAAUGGAAAAGGCUGCUAAGCAGAAAGGAAAAGCACCACUGCCAUCAGCUACAAAACCUUCAUGAAGAUUACUGGGGAAAUUAAAGUCAUCAUCCAAAUAUAUUUUUUUCAUGUUUAUUUAAAUGUAAUGCUAUAGUUUAUCUUCUCUUAAUUUACCUGUUUUACUGUAUAAAAGUGUCUUUUUUAUAUGUUUCCUUAAUUUAUUUAAAUAAGUGAAAAUACUUUAUAUACUUUAUAUUACUUUUGUCAAAAUUUGUGAUUUACUGCUUUUUUCUUCCCUAAAAAAUGAGAUUAUUUUCAUGUGAGUCAAACCCUGAAAGUACUAUAAAUAUUUUUAGUCUAUCAUAAUAGACUAUUCAGGCUAUUUUAAAAAAUUAAAGAUGUUAAUUUUAAUUACAUAUUAACUGGGGCCUGCAGUUCAUUCAGGGUUUUGAACAAAUAUAUAUAAAGGCCAGUUUUUCAUUCAGAAUAGUAAGUUAAGAUCCUUACUUUUUUUUCCUUUUCAAACUUUUAA